UAUUAAUUAAAUCACUUAGUGGCAGAAAGCCACUGUACCAGUUCAGAAACAGCUUCUGUUAUUUAGCUUUCUGUUUUUUUCUUUAUGGAUGAUGGCAACAUCUGAUUCAUAUAGGUCUGUGUGUAUGUGAAAUUUGACAUAAGAAAAGCUAUAGCAAUUGAUAUUAUGAGGAGAGUUACUUAUGCCUUGCACACUCUUGCUCCAUGAUUUAUUCAGUGGCCUCAGGAGCUAUUGAUGACACGCACAUUAAGAUAAGAUAGUUCCACAGGAUAAACAAUUAUAGGAUAAACAAUUAUACCGCAAAGGAUAUCAUUCAAUGUACAAAUAGUGUUUGUACUGUAAAAGUUGCUCUUUAAAAGUGUUUUGACUGGGAAUGUUAGAUCGAUGCACAAUGCAUGUAUUUUUUAGCUCUCAUCUAUGUCAGACAAUAUAUUGGAAAUCCACAAAUCUAUUUUCCUAACGAUUCUCAUAUUAUCGGAGAUACUGCCUAUGUUAUUCAUCUUCAUAUCAUGCCUUUUAAGGAUAAUAGGCAUCUCAGACAGUUAGACAAAAAAAUUUUUAUUUUCUUCAACAAGAAUUUCAAUUUAAAGAGCAAUUGGAUUGUGGAAAGUAUGCUGGAGAAGCAUUCUUGAUUGUUCAGCCAUGAACACCAUAGAAAAAAUUCUUGAAUGCUUAAUAGCUACUUGUGUAUUACACAAUAUUUGUAUAUUGAAAGAUUUGAUGGACUUUAAUCAAGCCUAUGAAGAAGAUACAUCAUAUGGAACAUUAAUAUCUGCUAAAGUGGAGGAUAGUGCUAAACGACAAAGAAUUAUGAAUAAUUUGAUAA